CCUACGGGUGGCUGCAGUGAGGAAUAUUGGUCAAUGGGCGCGAGCCUGAACCAGCCAAGUCGCGUGAAGGAUGACGGUCCUAUGGAUUGUAAACCUCUUUUGUCGGGGAGCAAAACGCGCCACGCGUGGCGUUCCGCACGUACCCUAAGAAAAAGGAUCGGCUAACUCCGUGCCAGCAGCCGCGGUAAUACGGAGGAUGCGAGCGUUAUCCGGAUUUAUUGGGUUUAAAGGGUGCGCAGGGGGAAUAUCAAGUCAGCGGUAAAAUUGAGAGGCUCAACCUCGUCGAGCCGUUGAAACUGGUGGUCUUGAGUGAGGGAGAAGUAGGCGGAAUGCGUGGUGUAGCGGUGAAAUGCAUAGAUAUCACGCAGAACCCCGAUUGCGAAGGCAGCAUACUGGAGCGCAACUGACGCUGAUGCACGAAAGUGUGGGUAUCGAACAGGAUUAGAUACCCGUGUAGUC
rnacentral:rRNA from 1 species